UACGUAGGGUGCAGGCGUUAAUCGGAAUUACUGGGCGUAAAGCGUGCGCAGGCGGUUUCUUAAGUCAGAUGUGAAAGCCCCGGGCUUAACCUGGGAACUGCGUUUGAAACUGGGAGACUUGAGUGUGGCAGAGGGGGGUGGAAUUCCACGUGUACCAGUGAAAUGCGUAGAUAUGUGGAGGAACACCGAUGGCGAAGGCAGCCCCCUGGGUUAACACUGACGCUCAUGCACGAAAGCGUGGGGAGCAAACAGG
rnacentral:rRNA from 1 species